UACGAAGGGGGCUAGCGUUGCUCGGAAUCACUGGGCGUAAAGCGCACGUAGGCGGACUCUUAAGUCAGGGGUGAAAUCCUGGAGCUCAACUCCAGAACUGCCUUUGAUACUGGGAAGCUCGAGUCCGGAAGAGGUGAGUGGAACUCCGAGUGUAGAGGUGAAAUUCGUAGAUAUUCGGAAGAACACCAGUGGCGAAGGCGGCUCACUGGUCCGGUACUGACGCUGAGGUGCGAAAGCGUGGGGAGCAAACAGGG
rnacentral:rRNA from 1 species